rnacentral:rRNA from 1 species
AUUGAACGCUGGCGGCAGGCCUAACACAUGCAAGUCGAGCGGAUGAAGGGAGCUUGCUCCUGGAUUCAGCGGCGGACGGGUGAGUAAUGCCUAGGAAUCUGCCUGGUAGUGGGGGAUAACGUCCGGAAACGGGCGCUAAUACCGCAUACGUCCUGAGGGAGAGAGUGGGGGAUCUUCGGACCUCACGCUAUCAGAUGAGCCUAGGUCGGAUUAGCUAGUUGGUGGGGUAAAGGCCUACCAAGGCGACGAUCCGUAACUGGUCUGAGAGGAUGAUCAGUCACACUGGAACUGAGACACGGUCCAGACUCCUACGGGAGGCAGCAGUGGGGAAUAUUGGACAAUGGGCGAAAGCCUGAUCCAGCCAUGCCGCGUGUGUGAAGAAGGUCUUCGGAUUGUAAAGCACUUUAAGUUGGGAGGAAGGGCAGUAAGUUAAUACCUUGCUGUUUUGACGUUACCUACAGAAUAAGCACCGGCUAACUUCGUG